ACUACAGAAGAUUGGAGUCUUAUUAUGGACAUAUGUGACAAAGUUGGAAGUACUCCUAAUGGAGCGAAAGAUUGCCUAAAAGCCAUAAUGAAAAGGGUAAAUCAUAAGGUUCCACAUGUUGCUCUGCAAGCACUAACUCUUCUUGGGGCUUGUGUGGCAAACUGUGGAAAGAUAUUUCAUUUAGAAGUAUGUUCCCGUGAUUUUGCAACAGAAGUACGUGCUGUGAUUAAAAAUAAGGCACAUCCUAAAGUAUGUGAAAAACUGAAAUCUUUAAUGGUGGAGUGGUCAGAAGAAUUUCAGAAGGACCCUCAGUUUAGUCUGAUAUCUGCAACUAUUAAAUCUAUGAAAGAAGAAGGAAUUACUUUUCCUCCAGCAGGUUCUCAGGGCUGGGCGCGGUGGCUCACGCCUGUAAUCCCAGCACUUUGGGAGGCCGAGGUGGGCAGAUCAUGAGGUCAAGAGAUCGAGACCAGCCUGACCAACAAGCUAUUGAAUUAUCGCUGCAAGAACAGAAACAGCAACACACAGAAACAAAAUCCUUAUAUCCAUCUUCAGAAAUUCAGUUAAAUAAUAAGGUUGCACGGAAAGUGAGAGCUUUAUAUG
rnacentral:sRNA from 1 species